GGGCCCGCACAAGCGGUGGAUUAUGUGGAUUAAUUCGAUGCAACGCGAAAAACCUUACCUGGCCUUGACAUGUACCGAAUUUAGCAGAGAUGCUUUAGUGCUCGAAAGAGAACGGUAACACAGGUGCUGCAUGGCUGUCGUCAGCUCGUGUCGUGAGAUGUUCGGUUAAGUCCGGCAACGAGCGCAACCCACAUCCCUAGUUGCCAGCAGUUCGGCUGGGCACUCUAUGGAAACUGCCCGUGAUAAGCGGGAGGAAGGUGUGGAUGACGUCAAGUCCUCAUGGCCCUUACGGGUUGGGCUACACACGUGCUACAAUGGUAGUGACAAUGGGUUAAUCCCAAAAAGCUAUCUCAGUUCGGAUUGUCGUCUGCAACUCGACGGCAUGAAGUCGGAAUCGCUAGUAA
rnacentral:rRNA from 1 species